rnacentral:rRNA from 1 species
AGCGAACGCUGGCGGCGUGCCUAACACAUGCAAGUCGAACGUGAAAGGGAGCAAUCCCAAGUAAAGUGGCGUACGGGUGAGUAACACGUAGGUAAUCUACCCCAGAAUCUGGAAUAACCGGCCGAAAGGCUGGCUAAUACUGGAUAGAGCGACGGAAUCCGUAAUUGGGUUUUUCGGGAAAGGGAGCCUGUAAAAAGGCCUUCGUUCUGGGAUGAGCCUGCGUCCCAUCAGCUAGUUGGUGAGGUAAAAGCUUACCAAGGCCAUGACGGGUAGCUGGUCUGAUAGGACGAGCAGCCACACUGGAACUGAAACACGGUCCAGACGCCUACGGGAGGCAGCAGUGGGGAAUCUUGCGCAAUGGACGAGAGUCUGACGCAGCAACGCCGCGGGAGUGAAGAAGGCCUUCGGGUUGUAGAGCUCGGUCGAGUGGGACGAAAAUGCUUGGAGUUCACAGCUCCAGGAACUGACGGUACCACUAAAGGAAGCACCGGCUAACUCCGUG